GAUAGUCUACGUUUAAGAUUUUUGAAAGAAGGGUUUCAAGGGUUCGGUUAAGAUCAAGAAAGAAUGGGUUUUGAUCAUGGAUAGGCUAAGAGAAAGUGUCUACCCAAGUUUUUAUGAUAGAUUCUAGAGAUUUUUGGGCCGAUUGAAGGUUGGAUUUAGGGAUUAUGGCUGAUGGGAAGCUUGGAGAGGGGCUUUAAUUUGGGACG
rnacentral:lncRNA from 1 species